AUUUCACAGUAUAUUUGCUUAGCGAGAAAACAGACUAGUUCCCCACAAACUGAGUACUUUCGUUGCUUCUUGAUGUGAUUAGAACUCAGCUUGGAGGGAAUUGUUUGAGAGAGUUGAAGGGCAAGAAGUUUUUUUGUUUUUUUGUUUUUUAAUGUUUGUUUAUUUUUUUAGAGAGAGACACAGAGCAUGAAUGGGGGAGGGGCAGAGAGAGAGGGAGACACAGAAUCCAAGGCAGGCUCCAGGCUCUGAGCUGUCAGCACAGAGCCCAACACGGGGCUUGAACUCAGGAACUGUGAGAUCAUGACCUGAACCGAAGUUGGACACUUAACCAACUGAGCCACCUGGGCACCCCAAGAAGUUUUUAAUGAUAGAGGCAGAGCUUCUUUAGUCUUUUCACACCCAACAGGAGUUCGCUAGUUAGCUACUUAAAUUGAAUAAAGAGAGGGCUCGCUUUCAAUUUCAGACAGUUAGCAUUUGGAAUCUGUCAAUAUAGUUGGCAGGAACUGCAAAGAAUCAAAUGAUUCUGGGUAAAUUUAGCAUCUCACUUACAUUUUAGAUGGCUUUACUGCUAACUCUUUGAUUUAUGGAUAUAAUGAUCUUAUGAGGAAUGCAGAACAAGUAUUAUUUUUCCAUUUUUAUAAGCAAAUGAACUAGAAAGCUAACUUGUCCAGUAUUGCACAGUAAGUAACAAAGGGGACAUCAAAAACAGGUCUUGUGACUCCUAUUCAGUGUUCUUUUUUUUUUUUAAUGUUUAUUUUUGAGAGAGAGAGAGACCGAGCAUGAGUCAGGGAGGGACAGAGAGAGGGAGACACAAAAUCUGAAGCAGGCUCCAAGCUCUGAGCUGCCAGCACAGAGCUCAAUGCAGAGCUUGAACUCACGGAUUGCAAGAUCAUGACCUGAGCUAAAGUCGGCCACUUAACUGACUGAGCCACCCAGGCAUCCCCUACUUCAGGGUUCUUAAGUAAAUUGUGCUUCAUCCACCAUCUUAAAUUGUGACCAAUGAUUUUUCAAAUGGGCAUCUGUUCUGUGGCUUAAAAUAAAAUUUGGCUCCCAGGUGUGUGAUAAUGUGAAAUGAGAUCUUUAGUCAGACAACUGUUUUGUUUGCUAUAUUAGUGGUUUUCAAGUUUGGCUGUGCAUAGAACUGCUUUGGAAAAUCUUAAAACAUGGAUUUGCAUCAAAUCCUCACCUCCAGAGCUGCUGACUUAGAGAUCUACAUCGAGAGGGAGGGAGUAGGUAAUAGUAUCGAUACCAUCCAACUAGACAGCCAACCAGCAAACCACUGCAGGUGAUUGUGAAGUGUACCCAGCGCGCUAUGGUAUCUAGAACUGCUAAGAAGUUUAGCAUCAGAUAUCCUCACAUUGGAAACAUAGUAAUCAAUCAUGAAUAUGAUUUCCUUUUCCAGUCACUAUCUCAAAAAUUCUGGGCAUGGGAGACAGAGCUGUGAUGUAGAUGGAAUAUUAGAUCUUAAGAUAUCACUUCAUUUGAUUCUUUGUGGGCAACUAAAGAUCUACAUGCUUCUGUCCCUUCAUAAUUUCAAGUCUUGGAUUUCUAAUAGUACAUUAAACAGCUGGAGUGGUAGUUGAUACAAACUGUGUGGAGGCAAUGCUAGUAAGAGGCGAUGAUGAGCAUUUUCGAUAUGUUGGCUCUUAAAGGUCAUGUACCUACAAUUUCUGUGUUACUCCAAUGUUUGCUGAGGGCCUUUGGCACAUAAGUUUAUCAUGUUAAAAAAAAAAAAAACUUUCUUCUUCCUAGUUUGCUAUGAGUUUUUAUCAUAAAUAGAUGAUGAAUUUUAUCAACUGCAUUUUCUAUGUCAAUUAUGGUGGUUUCUUGCUCGGAGUUCUUUUUCUCCUUUAGGCUACUCAUAUAGUAAAUUGUGGAUUAGGUUUUCAGAUGUUGAAUCUUCCUGAGAUAAACUGUACUUGAACAUUUUAUUUUUUUAAUACACUGUUGGAUUUGGUUAGCCAGUAUAGUACUUGGAAUUUUUGCAUCUAUGUUUACUAGUGAAAUUAGACUGUUCCUGUUUUGUUCUCAUGUGGUUGUGGAAUAAAGACUAGAAACCUCAUGAAAUGAGCGAGGCGUCUAUCACUCUUUUCUAUUUUCUAGAACAAUUAAUAGAAGACAGGAGUUAUUACCGAAAGUUGGAUUGAAUUUACCUGAAAGAUUAUCUAAGCUAGUUGUUCAAGGGGAAAUCUUUACCAAUUCAGUGUAUUUAAAUCUAUGUUAAUCUGUUCAAGAUCAUUAUUUGUCAUACUAAUCUUGGUAUUUUCUACUUUUCUAGGAAGACCCAUUUCAUCUAGAUUUAAUUUUUUAGAAAAUCUGUGUUUAUGUGUUUUAUUUUGUAUUUUCUUUUAAUCUUUUACUGUUGAGUCCUGCUAAUCUUUUCGAAGAACCAGCUUGUGUUUUUAUUACCUUCUUUUCCCCUCUGUUUCAUUGAUAUCUGCCUUUAUUAUUUUUUUUCUUGGUUUUUUGUUUUUGUUUUUGUUUUCUGUUACUCACUACCAAUUUCCAGGGUUGAAAACUUGACUUUUCUAUUUGUAAC